AUGUCUCAGAUCAUAAUUAAUUGGACCCUGAUCCUGAAGACAAAGCAAGCUGAAAACAUAAGGGGCAUCAAAUAACAACUAUUGCAGAUAUGCACGAGGAAAACAAAGCUGCAGCAAAUGCAUGUGGCAAAAUCCGAAGUGGCGCUCAGAAUGGGGCUGCUUUACUUGCCCUUAUGGAGAAGACUGGAUACAGCAUGGUUCAAGAGAAUGGACAAAGAAAAUUUGGUGGGCCUCCACCAGGUUGGGAAGGUCCUCCACCACCUCGUGGAUGUGAAGUUUUUGUGGGUAAGAUUCCUCGUGACAUGUAUGAAGAUGAAUUGGUUCCUAUUUUCGAGAGAGCUGGGAAGAUCUAUGAAUUUAGACUCAUGAUGGAAUUCAGUGGUGAAAAUCGAGGCUAUGCUUUUGUGAUGUAUACUACUAAAGAGGAAGCCCAACUAGCCAUCAAGAUUCUUAACAAUUAUGAAGUUCGUCCAGGGAAGUUUAUUGGUGUCUGUGUAAGCUUGGACAACUGCAGACUAUUUAUUGGAGCAAUUCCAAAAGAAAAGAAGAAAGAAGAAAUACUGAAUGAAAUGAAAAAAGUUACAGAAGGAGUGGUAGAUGUCAUUGUUUAUCCAAAUGCCACUGACAAAACUAAAAAUCGUGGCUUUGCUUUUGUAGAAUAUGAAUCUCACAGAGCAGCUGCAAUGGCUAGGAGGCGGCUUAUCCCAGGAACAUUUCAGCUCUGGGGUCAUACUAUUCAAGUAGACUGGGCAGAUCCUGAGAAAGAAGUUGAUGAAGAAACAAUGCAAAAAGUUAAGGUGUUAUAUGUAAGAAAUUUAAUGAUAUCUACUACAGAGGAGACAAUUAAAGCCGAAUUCAACAAGUUCAAGCCAGGAAUAGUUGAACGUGUAAAGAAGCUGAGAGACUAUGCUUUUGUUCACUUUUUCCACCGAGAUGAUGCAGUGGCUGCUAUGUCUGUAAUGAAUGGAAAGUGCAUUGAUGGAGCCAGUAUUGAGGUAACACUGGCAAAGCCAGUUAACAAAGAAAGUACUUGGAAGCAACAUUUUAAUGGUCAGAUAAGUCCCAGUUCUGAAAACCUCUUGGGGUUUCCUAACAAAGAAGAUGGUCAUCAAAAAUCCUUAGGGAAACCAGUGAGUCUUCCAGUUCAUUUUAAUGGUCAGCACAGUCCAGUCCCCACUGAAGUUGAAAGAUGUAUAUACCCAUUUUUUCCAGGAAUAAAACUUACUCCAAUUAGCAUGUAUUCUUUAAAAUCCAGUCACUUCAGUUCUGCAGCAAUGCAUCUGGAUUAUUUUUGUAAUAAAAAUAAUUGGGCACCUCCAGAAUACUACUUGUAUUCAACCACAAGUCAGGAUGGGAAAAUACUCUUGGUGUACAAGGUGCUUAUUCCUGAUAUUGCUAAUGCUUCCCGGAGUAUUUUCAUGCCAGACAAACUAUGUACAACAGUAGAAGGUGCAAAGGAAUUGGCAGCGCAGUUCACGCUUCUACAUCUAGCAGUGAUUUUGAGAAAAGUGUGAAUGUUUUUCUUGGAAGCAACUUACUAUAAGCAUGCCUUUACAAAGAUGACAAGGAAUAAUUCCUUCUGCCAACUGUACACCCUAUUUGGCUUGAAUUGCCCUCAAGAAAAGCUCAGGAUGUUUUGCUUCGGAUCUUGCUACAAAAGGAAAAAGACCACUAACUACAUUGAUACAUUCUAUGAUUUACUGGAAAAUCACAUUACAUGUUUAUUGAAUAAUUCUGUAAAACAUAUGUGUUUAUUAAACAUUUCACUUUAAAGAUUAGUGACAUUGACUGUUAAAUUGUUUUAGUUAGCUUGAUUAGAUUUAUUUUAAAAUUGUUUAAAAGAUUUUUUUAGCUGCAGUAGUUUAUAAAACAGUUUAUUUUUAGUGUUGAAAUAAUUUGCUACAAUUCCUUGUAUUUUGAGUUUCACACAAAUGUUACAGCUUCUGUGAUAAUAAAUCUUAAGAAUCAUUAAACAAAAAACAUAACCAACAAUACACCGCCUUGGCAAGUCUGCCUUUUCGUACAUAAACAUGCAUAAUACGAAACUUAAAUAUCAUACUCAGAUUUGUUUCUGUAACUUGAUGCAAAAUUUUAUAGGAGGAACGUGCUCAGUAACAUCUUCUGGUACAGCAUUGCAUCAACAGAGGAGUGGUAUUUUGAAAGGCCUGUUUUGAUGUCAAUCUACCAUCAGGCUACAUAAGAUGUAUUACUGUAUUUGUAAUGUUGAGCUUCAAUACCUUAGGUAAUUCUUUGAGACAAAAAUGAGCAAAAAAACCCCACGACUUGAUACAUACAAAUUACAUGUACUUAUAUGUACAGCUCACUAAGUUGCAUUACCUGUUAGCACUGCUCUGCUGGACAUGUGUGCUUCCAUAUUUAGAGAAGCCU